rnacentral:sRNA from 1 species
UGACUCCUGCAUCUUCUCCAGUUCUGUGCCAAUGACCCGGAGGUGUUUGUUCAGGCGGCUCUCCUGGCUCAGGAUUACUGUGAUGCCGUUGACCUGAACUUGGGCUGCCCACAGAUGAUAGCUAAGAGAGGUCACUAUGGCGCCUUCCUGCAGGACGAGUGGGACCUGCUCCAAAGAAUGAUUUUGCUGGCCCACGAGAAACUCUCUGUUCCUGUCACGUGCAAAAUCCGUGUCUUCCCGGAGAUUGACAAGACCGUGAGGUACGCCCAGAUGCUGGAGAAGGCCGGCUGCCAGUUGCUGACGGUGCAUGGACGCACCAAGGAGCAGAAGGGGCCCCUGUCGGGUGCAGCAUCCUGGGAGCACAUCAAGGCCGUGCGGAAGGCUGUGGCCAUCCCUGUGUUUGCUAACGGGAACAUCCAGUGCCUGCAGGACGUGGAGCGCUGCCUCCGGGACACGGGUGUGCAGGGCGUCAUGAGCGCAGGUGGGCAGGGCCCAGGACAGCAGCCAGGGCCCCAUGCACACGGCCUGAUACCACCGCCCAGCUCGGUGCCUCCCACUGCCUACUGCCCUCCCCAUGGUGCUGUUUGCAGAUGGUGUUCAUCGAUCCCAGUCUGCUCUGAUGGGCCUGAGCUGGCCUUGUCCCUUGUGAGGUGGCACAGAAGGGUGUCCUGAGUGUCCCAGGCCUUCCUGUGCCGUCCACCUAGAGCAACCCACGAGGUGUCCUUCCCUGCUCCUCCUCCCACAGAGGGCAACCUCCACAACCCCGCCCUGUUCGAGGGCCGGAGCCCUGCCGUGUGGGAGCUGGCCGAGGAGUAUCUGGACAUUGUGCGGGAGCACCCCUGCCCGCUGUCCUACGUCCGGGCCCACCUCUUCAAGCUGUGGCACCACACGCUGCAGGUGCACCAGGAGCUGCGAGAGGAGCUGGCCAAGGUGAAGACCCUGGAGGGCAUCGCUGCCGUGAGCCAGGAGCUGAAGCUGCGGUGUCAGGCAGGCGCUGGGGCUGGUGGGAGCCCGGCCUUGCGGGGGGUGAGGGGCUGGGGCCAUGACCAGGGCCUUGGGCUUUUGCAGGAGGAGAUAUCCAGGCAGGAGGGAGUGAAGCCCACCGGCGACUUGCCCUUCCACUGGAUCUGCCAGCCCUACAUCCGGCCGGG